CCCCAAAGGGGGCGGCGAUUCCCCGUGAAGGGGGGUUUUGGGGAGGGGAAGAUUUUACCCCCCCCCGGGGGGGUGGGGACCCCGGGCCCCAGGUUUCCUUCCGGGAGGGCAGCCAGUGGGGAAAUUUUGGGCCAAUGGGGGCAAACCUUGACCCAACCCAUGCCCGCGGUGGGAAGAAGGCCUUUCGGUUUGGAAAGCACUUUCCAGCGGGGGAGAAGGCCUCACCAGGUUAUACCCCGUGGGAAUUGACGUAACCCGCAGAAGAGCACCGGGCUACUCCGUGCCAGCAGCCGCCGUAAUACGGAGGGUGCAAGCGUUAUCCGAAAUACUGGGCGUAAAGCGCGCGUAGGCGGUUUGAUAAGCAGGAUGUGAAAGCCCUGGGCUUAACCUAGGAAUGGCAUUCUGAACUGUCUGACUGGAGUAUGGUAGAGGGUAGUGGAAUUUCCUGUGUAGCGGUGAAAUGCGUAGAUAUAGGAAGGAACACCAGUGGCGAAGGCGACUACCUGGACCAAUACUGACGCUGAGGUGCGAAAGCGUGGGGAGCAAACAGGAUUAGAUACCCUGGUAGUCCACGCUGUAAACGAUGUCAACUAGUCGUUGGGGAUCUUGAAUCCUUAGUGACGCAGCUAACGCACUAAGUUGACCGCCUGGGGAGUACGGCCGCAAGGUUAAAACUCAAAUGAAUUGACGGGGGCCCGCACAAGCGGUGGAGCAUGUGGUUUAAUUCGACGCAACGCGAAGAACCUUACCUGGCCUUGACAUCCUGCGAACCCUCUGGAGACAGAGGGGUGCCUUCGGGAGCGCAGUGACAGGUACUGUAUGGCCGUCGUCAGCUCGUGUCGUGAGAUGUUGGGUUAAGUCCCGUAACGAGCGCAACCCCUGUCCUUAGUUACCAGCGAUUCGGUCGGGAACUCUAGGGAGACUGCCGGUGACAAACCGGAGGAAGGUGGGGAUGACGUCAGGUCAUCAUGGCCCUUACGGCCAGGGCUACACACGUGCUACAAUGGCGCGCACAGAGGGCUGCAAACCCGCGAGGUUGAGCCAAUCCCUUAAAACGCGUCG
rnacentral:rRNA from 1 species